UAGGCAUUUCGCCAAAGGAGAUAAGCAAAUAGCUGAUAAGUACAAGAAAAGAAGCCCAACAUCACUAUUAGGGAUAUGCAAAUCAAAACCACAAUAAAAUAUCACCUCACACCCAUAAGGAUGGCUGCUUAAAAAAAAAAAAAAGUGUUGGUGAGGUGGGGGAUAAAUUGGAAAUUUGUGUACUAUUCCUGAUCAUGUAAAAUGGUGUAGCUGCUGUGGAAAACAGUAUGGUGGUCCCUAAAAAAGAGAGACAGAGAGAGAAUUACCAUAGUAUCCAACAAUUCCACUUCUGAGUAUACCCAAAAGAAUUGAAAGCAGCAUCUUUCUGCAAUAUUUGUAUUUCAGAAUGCUGUUCUUAACAGCAUUAUGCACAAUAACUAAAAGGCAGAAGCAAACCAAGUAUCCACCAACCGAUGCAUGGGUUAACUAAAUGUGGUGUACAUAUACAAUGGAAUUCUUCAACCUGAAAAAGGAAGAAAAUCCUGACCAAGCUACAAUAUGGAUGAACCUUGGGUACAUGAUGCUAAUUGAAAGAAGCCAGUCACAAAAAGACGAGAAGCUGAGCAGCUAGAUUAACUUGCCCUGAGCCUUUCAGCUACCACGUUCAAGUGUAUUUCUGCGAUGCCACGUGGAUUAGAGGGGAGGAGAGAAUUGGCCAUGCAGACUAGAGGGGAGGAGAGAAAUGGCAGGUGAACACCGGGAGAUCCACUCUGCCCCUGCCAGUAUAACGUGUGGCUUCUGUACCGAGUCAUGGCCCCUGGGGCAGUCAUCGGCACUGGUAGCCCAUAGGCCCUGUCCCUCUCCUGAGCUUCCUACAGAUAGAACUCCAGCUGCCCACAGCCCAAGAUCGCUCCAGUCACAGCAGAUGCUUUCAGAAUUCAGGGGCUGGGGGGAAGGGAGAAGGCUGCACACAAAAUUUGGGGAGUGAGGGGGGGUGCAGUGCUAUGUUUCAAAAAGAUGGUCACGGCACUUUGGAAAUAUUGGUUUAAAGUCCAUGGUGUGCCCCCUUUUAGCUAACUUCAGCUACUUCUCAUUUUUCUAACUGUACAUCCACAUAUUUUCAUUAGAAAGCUAAUGACCUCAAAGUACUCUCAGCAAAUCCUGAGAGGAUAGGAAUGAUCCUAUCUUGCAAUCUCUAAUAGCCUAUGUGCUGACUUAGUGUCAUAAAUUAAUAAAGUACAUGUCAAAGCAUAUAAUCAAACUCUGUGAUGGGGUGCACGUUCUGGAAACUUGUUUCAUUUUUAAUAACAAAUUCAGCGGUGGGAGCAUCUCUAAUACUUCUCAUUCCCCAGUACCCAAAUCUUGGUAGAGUUCCUCAGUAAACAUUCCAGGAGAGAUCCUUAACGUGUUCCUGAAUGCUCUGAAAUUGUAUGCAAGAUUGUGAGGGUGUAUGUACAUCUCUCUGGGGAAAGGAUCCUUAACUUUCAUCAGAUUCUCAAAGGACCUGUAACUCCCCAAAGGUUGAGAAUUACUGCAUUUCAGUGAUACCACCACACAUCAUAGUUCCCCCCUUGCACAGUUUUGGUAUGUGUAAAUGUUUUUCUGUAGUGUUCUGGGGAACUAGAAGGAUUUCAAUUUCGUUUCCGUAACAUAUCCCAUUUCUACUGGGGAUACUUACAAGAAUAGGGAACUGACACUAGGAACAGGAAAUGCUACAGCUGGCGAGUCGGGAGUGGGAGGUUUUGUGACACCUUGGGAGAGAUGAAGGAGUCCGGGGAAAAGAAACCUGCUUUUGCACUGCCCUCCCGUGUCUGCAGGGAGGAUGGGCAGACGACACUACCAGAGCCCGGAGUCAUCCUGGCCAAAGCUAAAGCUCUCAACCCGAGGAAUUAAGAGAUACAGAAGCCCCCCUGGGGUUCAGUUCCACAACACCUCUGGGGAGUUGGGGGUUGAAAAAAUUAAGGUCUCACAGAAAGAAAAGACCCAUUUGUAGUUUCUAAAAUAAAACAAUAUAAGACAUGAUUAACUGGAUUUCAUACAUCUUAAAUUAGUAGAAAUGGAAACUGUUGUGUUAUUUUCCACUUUCCUUUUCCCUGAUCGGUAGAAGUGUUCUAGUAUCUCCUUUCCUCAGAGUUUCAACACAAUAUUUAGAAAUCUGCUUUGCUUUGUUGCAGACUCUCUGUAUCCUGAGUCAGUUUCUCCAGCCACCUAGAGGCUCCCUAGGAUUCAGACUCAAUGAGCCAAAUAAAUUCUGUGCCUCUUCUUCAUGCCAGGCAUUCUGCUGGGCAUCGAAGAUGUGACAGUGACCAAGACAGGCAUGGCCUGGGGCUUCGCGGGAUUCCCAAUCUAAUGGGGACACACACUAAUCAUUAAAGGCAAUUAUCACACACUAUGAUGUGCACUGUGAUAGGAGUGUUCUAGGGAAGUCACAUUAAAAGGGGAUCUAGAAAGGAAUUGGUGGGGAAUGGUUGGGGAAAACACAAGGUAGUAAUGGCUCAACUGGGACCUGAAGGAAGGAUUAAAAUUAAUCAGAACAGAAAAGAAUGGCUCAAAGGAAGAACUGAAUGCACAUAUGACAAAACAACAUUAGUACUACCAGAACAAUCAUGUGAGGGGAGUAGCUGGAGAUAAGGUAGGCAGGGGGCCAGAACAAGAAGCCUCUGUUAAGUCAUGUCAAAAAGACUUAUUCCUGAGACCAAUGGAGAAACUUUGAAGGACUGAAGGAUUUGAAUCAAGAGGCUGACAAGAUGAUUUGUAUCUUUGAAAGAUAACUUUGGUCAGGUCAUGAUUUUUGCAGUCCGUGAGUUCAAGCCCCACGUCAGGCUCUGUGCUGACAGUUUGGAGCCUGGAGCCCGCUUCAGAUUCUAUAUCUCCGUCUCUCUCUGCCCCUUUCCUGCUCUCUCUCUUUCUCUCUGUCUCUUGCAAAAAUAAACAUUAAAAAAAAGAUAACUUUGGGCAUUACAUGAAAACAGAUUGAAUGAGCCAAGAAGAAGGAAGAGAAACCAGGUCUGAGGGGAAAUGAUGGCUGUCUAAUUUAGUGACAGCAGGGGUAUAAAGAAAGGAGGUGAUUUGCAAUAUAGUUAUAUCCUCAGAUCUUUCUGUUAGAUGGCUGGUCUAAGGCCCGAGUUUUCUUCAACUUUCUCCACCUUUCCUAGGAAUUCACUGGAAAGCCCUCCAUGUCUCCUCCAUCAUUUGCUUCUCUCUCUGUUCCAUUCCCAAAUCCACCCACUGAGAAUACAACACAAGUUACAAUAUACUGGGACAGAAAUGCUCAAGCUUUCCCCAAAAAACAAUGUGCACAAAUAAAUAUAUGCAUAUCAGAAUUUCAUAUAAGGUGACAAAUUACUGCGGAUAAAGGAGAGUCACCAAAAGACUUUUAUCAUUCCAAGCAUCCAAAGUAAUUCUGAAUCUCUGACUCAAAGUUGGCAGCAUUAAUUAUGAUGCAUAAAAUCUGAAGAACAUUUCACUUGUGCAAAGAGACCAGGAGGAAAAAAUGCCUCCUGCUAAUUUGUCCAAGACCAUAUAGAAGUUUGUGACUGUGUGCUAUCUGCUUUAGAGUGAAAUUGAUUUACAAGUUUCUGGAAAAAAAGGUGGUAAAUGGAAAGUAACUGCACUGCACAGUAUCCAUUAUUAUUCACUUAAGAUGUAUAAAAUUUCAUUGGUGUUGUGUUUAGUAUGCUGACUAAAGUGCGUGUGUUUUAGUGGAAGGAAGUUCUAAGUGCUUUCAUUGGUAUAUUCAUACUUCAGUGCCUCUCAUUUUAUUUUUUCUUAUGAGAUUUUUAAGCACCUACAGCACAAAAGCCCUCAUAACUGAAGAAGGAAUGUACAGUUACAAAGAUAAAAACGCCUCGCCUCUAGGAAUAACUUUCCUUAAUUGGCAAAGUCAGUCAUGAGUUUCAUAAAGAUUUUCCCGGAGCAGAAAGUGUGGUUGUACAUCAGAUUUUCCCAAUAACUGAUCAGAAAGAGAUAUUGAAGGAACUUAGAUUCUAAAGAGUUUGCAUCUGAACAGAAGACAGUGGGUCCAAGAUGGGAACACUUAAAAUGUUAUAGAAGCUCUGACUUUGUCAGUGGUGCAUGUGCGUGAACAACUCUACCUGGGUACUUCAGGAAAAUGGGCUUUUCUCAAGCAAGUUUGCCCUCGGGAGAAAGGAUAACUAGAUACUUGGGGCAAUCAUGGAAAUCUUGAAAAUUCAGAUUUAGAUAGACAAAGCUCCACUUUGGAGGAACUAUCAGGUGUGUUUUAUUUUGAUCCCUAUCUCCUACAUGCCCGAAAAGAGAAAAGAACAAAUUGCAAAAGAAUUAAGGCCCAAAUCAUUUUCUCCCUAAACUUAAAAUACUUAAAAAAGAAACUAACUAUGCUGUAAUAGUAUUGACACCAUAGGUGUUUGCCUUUAACUAAAUAAAAGUACAUGUUGUAUAAAAGUCGUAUGCGGAAGUAUAGUUUAUAAUAUAAACCAAAAGCCAGAAUUUUAAGAGUAAAUUUCUAAACAUAAAAUGGAGCUUUAAAAUAUAAAGGUCAACAAUUUUAUCGUCAAUUUUUUCUUUUAGAGUUCUACUUGAGAAGGCAGAAAAGAACUUAUUAAGUACAUCUUCCUUACAUGACUUCAGUUGGGUCAGCACUAGAAGGAAACAAAGCAGGAAGAAAGAGAAGAGAGAGAUGUACUGAGUACCUACUAUGUCCCAUGAAUGAAAUGAAUUAUUUCCUUUAAACUCUCUGAAAUACGUAUGAGAUAGGCAAGUAUGUAUUGAUAUUACAGAUGAGGAAACAAGCUCAAAAAGACUAUGUAAUUCCAGAGCAAAGACCUGAAUUUAGUUCAGUCUGCUUCUAAAGUCUGUGUUCUUUUCUAUUUUUAACAUUUAUUUAUUUUUGAGAGACAGAGACACAGAACACGAGUGGGGAAGGGGCAGAGAGAUAGGGAGACACAGAACCUGAUGCAGGCUCCAGACUCUGAGCUGUCAGCACAGAGCCCGGUGCAGGGUUCAAACGCAGGAACCAUGAGAUCAGGACCCGAGCCAAAGUGGGAUGCUCAACAGACUGAGGCACCCAGGCACCCUCAAAGUCUGUGUUCUUAACCACUAGUCUAUACUUUGACAUUCUAACUAAAGCAACACAUCUCUAGGGAAAACUGACAAGAAAGGUAAAAAGGUAGGCAUCAGGUCCCUCAUUAACCAGGUUGGGAGCCUUUUACUGAGCUUUGUUUACAGACUCCAAGAAGCCUUCCAGCCCUUUAGGUCCACAUUCAUGUAAUACUAUUUCUAAAAAUAAGAUUCUCAGAAACACAGUGCUCUAAGACUCCUCUGGAAAACUCAUAAGACAGAUUGGUAUAUUAAAAGACACCAGAGGGGUGCAUGUGUGGCUCAGUUGGUUAAGCAUCCAACUCUUGAUUUUGGCUCAGGUCAUGAUCUCACGGUUCAUGAGUUCGAGCCCCAUGUCAGGCUCUGCGCUGCCCAUGCGGAGCCUGCUUGGGAUUCUCUGUCUCCCUCUCACUCUGCUCCUCCCCUGCACUGGCUCUUGCUCUCGCUC